GUGUGAAUGAAUCUUUGCACCUUUCUCUAGCAAGCUGAUCAACAUCUGGUCUAAGAUAUUAUUCUUCAGCACUGCGAUGGAGGGUUUGUGAGGUCCACAUCAGCUCACUAUUGCUUCUUCCAAGAUGCCUGGCUUGUGCCACAGAGAAUUGCUCAGACUUACUCAGUAGGGGAGAAGUCAUCUCUGCAGGAAAUCCGAAAUAUACUCAAGCUAACAGUGUGUAUUUCCAGAGAGAACAAGCUAAUUCCAACAUUAUUUCUCAUCCCCUGGGCAUCACCGAGCACCUACUGUUAGACAUUGUGCCAGCCACUGAAGAAUGGAUGGUCAGAGUAUGGCGAAGAAGAUAAAGAGGGACAGCAUGCUGUGAGAUGAGACACACACCUACAUAACUAAUGGGAUAUAAAAAGGAUCGUCGGAGAGGGGCGCA
rnacentral:lncRNA from 1 species